rnacentral:rRNA from 1 species
AUUGCCCUAGUAACGGCGAGUGAAGCGGCAACAGCUCAAAUUUGAAAUCUGGCCCUCUUGGGGGUCCGAGUUGUAAUUUGUAGAGGGUGCUUUGGCGUUGGCCCCGACCUAAGUUCCUUGGAACAGGACGUCACAGAGGGUGAGAACCCCGUACGUGGUCGUCGGUCUUCGCCGUGUAAAGCCCCUUCGACGAGUCGAGUUGUUUGGGAAUGCAGCUCUAAAUGGGAGGUAAAUUUCUUCUAAAGCUAAAUAUUGGCCAGAGACCGAUAGCGCACAAGUAGAGUGAUCGAAAGAUGAAAAGCACUUUGGAAAGAGAGUCAAAAAGCACGUGAAAUUGUUGAAAGGGAAGCGCUUGCAGCCAGACUUGCCUGUAGUUGCUCAUCCGGGCUUUUGCCCGGUGCACUCUUCUGCGGGCAGGCCAGCAUCAGUCCAGGCGGUCGGAUAAAGGCCUUGGGAAUGUGGCUCUCUUCGGGGAGUGUUAUAGCCCAGGGUGCAAUGCGGCCAGCUUGGACUGAGGUCCGCGCAUCUGCUAGGAUGCUGGCGUAAUGGCUGUAAGCGGCCCGUCUUGAAACACGGACCAAGGAGUCUAACAUCUAUGCGAGUGUUUGGGUGUCAAGCCCGAGCGCGUAAUGAAAGUGAACGGAGGUGGGAACCCCUCGGGGUGCACCAUCGACCGAUCCUGAUGUCUUCGGAUGGAUUUGAGUAAGAGCAUAGCUGUUGGGACCCGAAAGAUGGUGAACUAUGCCUGAAUAGGGUGAAGCCAGAGGAAACUCUGGUGGAGGCUCGCAGCGGUUCUGACGUGCAAAUCGAUCGUCAAAUUUGGGCAUAGGGCGAAAGACUAAU